CCGUAAGAUAACUAGGGUUUAGAGACUACGUCAAAAUGACGUGUGCUCGACCCUUCCUUCUUUCAUCCACACACCUUUGUGCACUAUGGGGACGCAUGUCCCCCUUUUAUACUUAAAAACCAAGUUAUAUGCAUGUUUGUUGAUACUCUAUGGAGUUAUAUA
rnacentral:misc_RNA from 1 species